AUACGGGGGGGGCUAGCGUUGUUCGGAAUUAUUGGGCGUAAAGGGCGCGUAGGCGGCCUGUUAAGUCGGACGUGAAAUCCCGCGGCUCAACCGCGGAACUGCGUUCGAAACUGCCAGGCUUGAGUCCCGGAGAGGGUAGCGGAAUUCCCGGUGUAGAGGUGAAAUUCGUAGAUAUCGGGAGGAACACCAGUGGCGAAGGCGGCCUUCUGGACGGUGACUGACGCUGAGACGCGAAAGCGUGGGGAGCAAACAGGAUUAGAAACCCCAGUAGUCC
rnacentral:rRNA from 1 species